UACGUAGGGAGCGAGCGUUGUCCGGAAUUACUGGGUGUAAAGGGAGAGUAGGCGGGAAUUCAAGUUAGGUGUGAAAGGUGAGGGCUCAACCCUCAAACUGCACUUAAAACUGAGUUUCUUGAGAGAUGAAGAGGCAGGCGGAAUUCCCGGUGUAGCGGUGAAAUGCGUAGAUAUCGGGAGGAACAUCGGUGGCGAAGGCGGCCUGCUGGGCAUCAACUGACGCUGAGGCUCGAAAGCGUGGGGAG
rnacentral:rRNA from 1 species